rnacentral:lncRNA from 1 species
UGAGAACAUUGUUGAUUCCUCCUUGUUUGAGGAAUUUGUACAAGGAUUUGAGUAAAAUAAAACGUUUCUGUUGGACCAACACCACCUUGAUUCGUCACAGCCACGGUAUGGAAAAUGAAGUUAAUCGAUUUUACAAGCUUUAAAGAUUAGAAAGUGCUUCUAUGGAGAUGGGAAGGUUGAUAGGAAAUGAGGACCCAGAGUUCCAGCAAUCUAUCUCGCAGCAUUUGGAUUAGCCACGUUUGAGGAAGAUCACAGAGAGGAAGAUCAUCAGUGCAUGAAUCCUACC